rnacentral:rRNA from 1 species
CAGUAGCCGCGGUAAUACGUAGGGUGCAAGCGUUAAUCGGAAUUACUGAGCGUAAAGCGUGCGCAGGCGGUUCGUUAAGACAGAUGUGAAAUCCCCGGGUUUAACCUGGGAACUGCAUUUGUGACUGGCGGGCUAGAGUAUGGCAGAGGGGGGUAGAAUUCCACGUGUAGCAGUGAAAUGCGUAGAGAUGUGGAGGAAUACCGAUGGCGAAGGCAGCCCCCUGGGCCAAUACUGACGCUCAUGCACGAAAGCGUGGGGAGCAAACAGGAUUAGAUACCCCAGUAGUCCCUGUCUCUUAUAA